rnacentral:lncRNA from 13 species
CAGUUUUCUGAGAACGAGGAGCCUUUCCUGGGGAGGCAGGAGUCAGAAAACUUGGCUUUGAGCCUCCUGUGGCUAUGUGACCCAUCACUGUCCUUGGUCUGCCCCUCUCUGGGAACAGGAAUGACUUUGAAUCCAGAAUACGAGUAACAAUAGACAGCCUAAAUGCAACCUUUGCUUCUCCUGGAGGGCACUCACUGCAUUCCCAGCGCUCAAUUUUCCCUCUCUCUGUGAUUUCUCUAUCUCUCAGGUCACUCACUCUGGGCAAAAUCCUGCUUCCGUGUCCUGGGAAACCAUAUGGAGAAGCCCAUGUGAGGAGCUGAAGCCUCCGGCCCUCAGCCAGUGAUGCAUUCAGGCCUGCCAAUCAUGACCUGAGAGAGCUUGGGAGUGGAUCCUCCAGCCUCGGUUAAGCCUUCAGAUGACUGGAGCCCUGGCCGACUCCUUGACUGAAACCCCAUGAGGGUUCCUGAGCCAGAACCACCCAACUAAGUCACAUACAGAUUCCUGAUCCUCAGGAACGAUUAGAUAAUAAAUCUUGGUUGUUUUAAGCUGCUAAGUUUGGG